GGAUAACAUACCGAAAGGUAUGCUAAUACGGGAUAAUAUAUUUGAGAGGCAUCCCUUAAAUAUCAAAGGUGAGCCAGUACAGGAUGGACCCGCGUCUGAUUAGCUAGUUGGUAAGGUAACGGCUUACCAAGGCGACGAUCAGUAGCCGACCUGAGAGGGUGAUCGGCCACAUUGGAACUGAGACACGGUCCAAACUCCUACGGGAGGCAGCAAUGGGGAAUAUUGCACAAUGGGCGAAAGCCUGAUGCAGCAACGCCGCGUGAGUGAUGAAGGCCUUCGGGUCGUAAAACUCUGUCCUCAAGGAAGAUAAUGACGGUACUUGAGGAGGAAGCCCCGGCUAACUACGUGCCAGCAGCCGCGGUAAUACGUAGGGGGCUAGCGUUAUCCGGAUUUACUGGGCGUAAAGGGUGCGUAGGCGGUCUUUCAAGUCAGGAGUGAAAGGCUACGGCUCAACCGUAGUAAGCUCUUGAAACUGGGAGACUUGAGUGCAGGAGAGGAGAGUGGAAUUCCUAGUGUAGCGGUGAAAUGCGUAGAUAUUAGGAGGAACACCAGUUGCGAAGGCGGCUCUCUGGACUGUAACUGACGCUGAGGCACGAAAGCGUGGGGAGCAAACAGGAUUAGAUACCCUGGUAGUCCACGCUGUAAACGAUGAGUACUAGGUGUCGGGGGUUACCCCCUUCGGUGCCGCAG
rnacentral:rRNA from 1 species